ACAGGAGGCACCGAGCAAACACCAACUGGGAAGACAUGUCCCAUUGAUUUAAAUGGUCCUAUGUUAUGGAUGAUUGGUGAGUCCUGUGUGCCUGUGGAAUCCAGAAUGGAGUUUAAGAGAAAGCAAUCAUAAGGGAAAAGUCCUGGGGGAAUUAUAUAGUGGGCACUGAAGCGCUGCAACUGGGCAACUCUGUGCACAGACCAAGCAUCGUUACAAAUGGCGCCUUGAACUGGGACAUCCCCUUCCGAAGGAAAGCAGCAACCAACAUAUUUACAGUCGUCUGGAACAGACCCCUUGGUGCACCUUCUCGUCUUCUCGUCCUGCGAGAUUUCUCAAACUGGGGUCGUGAUAGGGAUCGAGGGGACGGCAGGUUUGGUUCCACAGAUCCUGUUGUAAUUGCAUUAACCACCCCAAUCACCACCCAAAGACCCCGUCAGACAGUCUUUUUUCAGGGUAAGCCUUUGGAGGGCAUAAUUGAUACAGGGGCCGAUGUUUCAGUAAUUUCAGCUAAAGAUUGGCCUGCAUCUUGGCCCACUGACCCAUGCCCUAGUGUCUGGGGUGUAGGAGGGCGACAAGGUGCACGACAAAGUACACAAUUUCUUUCUGCAAGUCUUCCUAAUUCUAUUGUAACUGUUCAACUUCAUCCUUUCAUUCUUGACAUUCAUGUCAACCUUUGGGGACGAGACUUGCUUAGUAAAUGGGGGGCUACCGUCAUCUUCGAUGAAUAAAGUGUCUGCCUUACCCUUAACUUGGUUAACUACUACCCCUGUUUGGGUGGAACAAUGGCCUCUUCCUCUGUACAAAUUACAGGCCUUAAAAAUUCUUGUUCAAGAAC